rnacentral:misc_RNA from 1 species
UCCGAUUUGUCACCGGCAUAUGUCAAACCCAGGUAAGGUUCUUCGCGUUGCAUCGAAUUAAUCCGCAUGCUCCGCCGCUUGUGCGGGCCCCCGUCAAUUCCUUUGAGUUUUAGCCUUGCGGCCGUACUCCCCAGGCGGGGCGCUUAAUGCGUUAGCUGCGGCACGGAACUCGUGGAAUGAGCCCCACACCUAGCGCCCAACGUUUACGGUGUGGACUAC